UGAGGUCAUAAGGGUGGGGCCCUAAUCCAGUAGAGCUGUUGCCCUUAUAAGAAGAGGAAGAGACACUGGUGCUCUCUCUCUGCCAUAUGAGGACACAAUGGCCAUCUGCAAGCUAGGAAGAGAGCUCUCAUCAGAAACCAAACACACCCUCCAGAACUAGAUCUCAAGCUGGGAAGAUGCAAGCCUGAAGCUAUCUACAGCUAUCCUCUUCUCCCAUCCCCGCCCCUGUGUUCUUGCCCCCACCCAAGAAGAGGAAGUCACCUGCUGAAUAAGACAUUACACGCACAGUGAAGAAAAGAGAUGGAGACCUUGCCUGACUGAACUGUGUUGGACUCAGGAUUCACUCAGUUGUAUAAGACAACUGAUCUCUUUUGCUUAGCCCAGGUAGAGGUGGUUUCUGUCACUUGCAAACAAGAGUCCUAAUUUGGGAAGGCAUACA